rnacentral:tRNA from 1 species
GCCCCCCUAGCUCAGUUGGUAGAGCGUUUCCAUGGUAAGGAAAAGGUCACCGGUUCGAUUCCGGUGGGGGGCUC